AUGAAGCCCAGCUUGCUGGGUGGAUUAGUGGCGAACGGGUGAGUAACACGUGAGCAACCUGCCCCUGACUCUGGGAUAAGCGCUGGAAACGGCGUCUAAUACUGGAUAUGUCCCGUCACCGCAUGGUGUGCGGGUGGAAAGAUUUUUCGGUUGGGGAUGGGCUCGCGGCCUAUCAGCUUGUUGGUGAGGUAAUGGCUCACCAAGGCGUCGACGGGUAGCCGGCCUGAGAGGGUGACCGGCCACACUGGGACUGAGACACGGCCCAGACUCCUACGGGAGGCAGCAGUGGGGAAUAUUGCACAAUGGGCGGAAGCCUGAUGCAGCAACGCCGCGUGAGGGAUGACGGCCUUCGGGUUGUAAACCUCUUUUAGCAGGGAAGAAGCGAGAGUGACGGUACCUGCAGAAAAAGCACCGGCUAACUACGUGCCAGCAGCCGCGGUAAUACGUAGGGUGCAAGCGUUAUCCGGAAUUAUUGGGCGUAAAGAGCUCGUAGGCGGUCUGUCGCGUCUGCUGUGAAAUCCCGAGGCUCAACCUCGGGCUUGCAGUGGGUACGGGCAGACUAGAGUGCGGUAGGGGAGAUUGGAAUUCCUGGUGUAGCGGUGGAAUGCGCAGAUAUCAGGAGGAACACCGAUGGCGAAGGCAGAUCUCUGGGCCGUAACUGACGCUGAGGAGCGAAAGGGUGGGGAGCAAACAGGCUUAGAUACCCUGGUAGUCCACCCCGUAAAACGUUGGGAACUAGUUGUGGGGUCCUUUCCACGGAUUCCGUGACGCAGCUAACGCAUUAAGUUCCCCGCCUGGGGAGUACGGCCGCAAGGCUAAAACUCAAGGAAUUGACGGGGACCCGCACAAGCGG
rnacentral:rRNA from 1 species